rnacentral:lncRNA from 1 species
CCCUCCGUAUUCGGUCUCCAAGUAAUUAUCAUAUGCAUAUCUUCUGACCAGGCAAGAGAGUUGAUUUGCUGUUCAAAGUCAUGCUUCGAUAACAAGUUUUUAUAUUUAAUAAAGAAAAUGAUAGGUUUUUAUGUAUGUGUGAUGCCGAAACAAAGGCUUUGGCUAGCUUCACUAUUCAUAUUGAUGCAAACAGCAUGGUAUUUUGUCUCCA